GAUGAACGCUGGCGGCGUGCAUAACACAUGCAAGUCGAACGAAGCAUUUAGGACAGAUUACUUCGGUUUGAAGUUCUUUAUGACUGAGUGGCGGACGGGUGAGUAACGCGUGGGUAACCUGCCUUGUACUGGGGGAUAGCAGCUGGAAACGGCUGGUAAUACCGCAUAAGCGCACAAUGUUGCAUGACAUGGUGUGAAAAACUCCGGUGGUAUAAGAUGGACCCGCGUCUGAUUAGCUAGUUGGUGAGAUAACAGCCCACCAAGGCGACGAUCAGUAGCCGACCUGAGAGGGUGACCGGCCACAUUGGGACUGAGACACGGCCCAGACUCCUACGGGAGGCAGCAGUGGGGAAUAUUGCACAAUGGAGGAAACUCUGAUGCAGCGACGCCGCGUGAGUGAAGAAGUAAUUCGUUAUGUAAAGCUCUAUCAGCAGGGAAGAUAGUGACGGUACCUGACUAAGAAGCUCCGGCUAAAUACGUG
rnacentral:rRNA from 1 species